GCUGGAACUUCAUUUUUGGCCCUGCAACCAAAGCCGACAAUAUCGUCCCGCUCUUACGCCACUGGUUCAGUAGGCUUCCUGGAGAUCAGGUAGUUCCUCAGGUCCUGGAUUUCCUGGAAGCUCCUGGCAUAGUCCAGAGAAGACAGCAGGCUGUCCUUACUGUGUCCCUGUGGGUUGAAGGUCCCGGCCCUCUCCUCCUCAUCUACCUUUUUCAUAAGGAUCCCAGUCCAGCGCCCACAAGUCCCAGAGCUCAUCCACCAUCGAACAAGACCCAGAGUCCGGGGCCAGGCCUCUGGGGUGUGGCAGAGAUCUCCUGCUCAGUGGUCAAGUGGUCCUAAACAUUUCACAAAAUCAAGAAAGACUGUUGAACUAUUGAGAACCACUAGACCAAAGAGAGCGUUUCAGUUCCGGGAUUCAAGCUCCGCGCUGAGGAAUGAAGGUUCUACCAGUCGGACUGGUAUGCCUGCUGCCCCAGCUAGGCGCAGGGUGAGAUGUUCUGUGUGUGUACCUGUCAGGCCGGUCGGGUCACCACUGACUCACCUGUCCCUGAUCUCUGAUCUCUCCGUCUGACCCGUUCGGAAAGAAACCAGUAAUAUCUUUGUGGUAUUAUCUUAGUAUCGUCACAGUGGCACUGAGUUAAUAUUGUGGUGCUAUGUUAGCACUGGAGUACUAUUUAAGUACUUCUUUACUAUGGCAUAAACUACUACUAUUUACUUUUCACCAUUUUGUGUUCAUUGUUUGAGUAAGAUGCCAUGCCAUGCUCAUUAAUGACAUUAGGGAACAAAUUCCAUUGUGUUGGCUUUGGAAUAAAGCUAAACGGAAUAGAAUAAAGGCAUAAUUCAGCAGACGCUUUCAUCCAAAGUGUCGUGGAAUGGGUUGGAUACAUACAUGUCAUUACCUAGCAGGUAGGGUCUAGAACAUCUUGCUCCAGGAGGCUGAUCGCUACUGGUUAGGCCAUGUGAUAGCAUGGGGGGAAUGUGGACUUCCAAGGCAUCAGGUUGCUGUUUUAAAUGUGAGGUUAUGAUUGAUAGAUGAAAUUAUUCUGGGCUACUGGUUUAUCUCAUGUCAUAGAGCUAGGGAGAGAUGGAGAGACAGAAGGGGGGAAGGGAGAGAGAGGGAGUGAGAAGAAAAAAAGGGGGGGGGGAAUUGUAAAUAUGGCAAAUAUGGCAAGAACUACAACAAAUAUAUAGAAAAAACGAAAAAAACCUAUUGAUCUAUCUAUGUAAAGUAUAAGAAGUAAUGUAAGCCCAGCAUGGAAAUGCUAUCCAAAUGUGGGGUAGCACCUCAUGGAGAUACCGACUGACCAGACAGGAAGUGACCUCAGGUAUCUUGACAGUCAGGUUCUACAAGACCACACCCCCUUCCACCAGCACCUCAGCAUUCCCCUCAGUUUGUGUGAAUGUGAAUGUGUAUGUGUGUAGGUGUACUAAUGUAUAAGUAUUUAUGUGGAAGUAUGUUUGUGUGUGUGUAUCGGUGUGUGUCUGUGUGUGUCCGUGUGAGUCCUGACAAUCCCAAACUCUGUGCAUCAUGAUCACAAACAUAUAGUUGAAUCCACCUCACCUAUUCUUAUCAGAUGCUAGGUCUUUGAAGGCUUCUACAUCGCCUGGCUCGAAACAAUAGUUGACAUAGUUAGAAUGUUUAUCAAGGGCAUUACAGCCAUAGCUCCACCCUCUGUACAAAUGUAGAAACAUUCCUGUGAAACCAGCCUUAUUUAAUUUUGUAAUAAUAAAUUAUAAUUAUAUCAUCACUGCCAACACACGAUGAUUGACACCUAUGAUUCAAGGGGUUCCCGUAAUCUUUCACCUGAAGGCCGGGAAUCUGGGGUCUUCCUUUGGGACCCAAAUUGACAAAUGAUUCUCAUAUGUUCCCAUAACAUGUACCUUUAUAAACAAGUGAUGAAAAACAACUAAACCAUGCAUUUAUAAUGUAUAUUAAAUGUUUUGUAUGAAUAGAAAAGUACAUCACAGCAAUGUGGUGAAUGUAAUGUAUCGUUCCUCACCACCUCUAUAUAAACUUGCAGUAUAAACUGAGCAUUACACUCACUUGGUCAACUGGAGAGGGGAAUGUGCACAAGUACACAGAACAAACACAAUCCUAGCAAUAAUUAGAGAGAGAGCAUAAUAAAACAAUGAAUGUUUGAGGUUUGUGCUGUUGAUGUAGUUACUAUUAAAGGGGAGUCGUUAUUAAAUGAAUAACCAUCACUUCUUGUAUCCUUAGUCCAUUGAUAAAGUAAUUAAUAUAGCCUAGUUAAAUCAAGGGUAUGCCUACAUAUUAUACAUUUAGAAUAAUCUGAAUAAUAAAGAAUAAUUUGUUGAUUAUUAUGAGGAAUGAUCAAUUGUAAACAGUGACAAAUUCAUUCAUUUUUUUGACCAGGGUUACAAGUGUCCCAUGGAAGUGUAGUGAAAACCAAGAGGCCUCGGUUCCACUUGUUGUUUUAAUGCGCCAGAUGAGAUCACAGGUCUGACGUCCACACCUUGAACAUCAAUGCGAACUGUUUGGCCAGAUCUGUGUUCAGAUUUCAAUUGCCAGCUAAAUUAUUUCCUGGUUAAAUAAUUCUGCAGACACGGCGCUGGGCUGGAGGAGAAGCCCUUCUGUUGCUCAAGCUGUUUUAAAUAGUACAACAUAGUCAAACGCCUUUGCCAUGCAUUGUGGUUGAGAAGCUGUAUAAAAUCAGUGUUGGCAGAUUGGGCCAGAUUUAGCGACCAAUCUGGCAGCCCUUGCUGCAGCGAAAGUUGGCAACACUGUAUAAAUCGCCAGCGGAGGCAGUGCUAGUAAUGUCGUAAUGAUAUAAACUGAACGAGAAGGAGUUCAGGUGCCGCACACAGCAUCUGAACUGCAAAGACAGCAAAAAAGGCUCUUCUAUUUUAAUUAAGAAAAUCAAUUCACAUUAAUUAAAAGCAUCGUUAUGCGUUGUACUCCGCCGAUUGGCGCCCCAUUCAAAUCGGGUCGGCGACUAAUUUUGUUAAGUUUGGGAAAGGUCCAAGAAGAAGGCUGACUAUGUUGCUAACUACUCAAUACCGAACUGUAGUAGGCUAUGCUUAUAUACCUCUAUGGCUCUAUACCUGUGAUAAUGGUUUGUUUGUGUAUAACUUGUUAUCCUGUGUUACUUACAUGUGUGUGUGUGUGUGUGUGUGUGUGUGUGUGUGUGUGUGUGUG
ensembl:lncRNA